rnacentral:sRNA from 1 species
ACUGUCAUCUCAUUGAUCAUCGAUUUACUCUAAUAGAGAUGGACCGGUCUUUGGUUGAGGGUAUACAAGUAGCUGCACUACCCUGCUAGAACCUCCAAACAAGUGCUGCAAUAAACACAGAAAUGCAGAUGGUAUUUAUAC